rnacentral:lncRNA from 1 species
GCCCACAUACUAAUUGGGAAUAUGUUGACUGAGCAUUUGCAUCUGCUUGCACAUUCAGAAAAAUUUUAGUGAAUCAUUACUUCAUAUUUAUUUGGCUUUUUUUUCCUUUAAUCAUCAGGUGGGUGUUCCAGGAGAGAUUCAUGCAUCCACCAUAGAAAUGCCUGAGAUAUACUAGGUAGCAUGUUUUAUGCCUGUAUUUUGUCAUCAGUGAAGUAGUGAGAAAUUUCUUUCAGAACUUUUGGAAGAUUAUCUACUAGUAAUGUCAAAUAUAUUUCCUGGGGUUAGAAGGUAGUCUGAUUUAAGACCGUUUAUUUUUUUUUCCCCUAAACCUUCAGGGUGGCAGGUCAGGAUGAUAAUCUGAAAACUGUCAUCAUAAGAAACAGAUACCUGCCAAUAACUCUGGAUGGCCACUUGGAAGGCUGCUAUUACAUGGACCUACCAACAUUUUCUAAGUGUGUCUCUCACUUUGCAUUUCCUUCACAUUUUUCCCAUUACUUGGAUCUUCAGCCUCACAUUGUUGUACACCAAUCAACACUCCCUGAGAAGGAAUCAACAUGGACUGGACAAGGAUUUGCUCACAGCCACCCCAUAUCUGGGUGGAGGGGCUGUCAGCAUUCCUGCACCUUUGAGCUGGAGAAGCAGCCGUGGGGCGAGGCUGCUGCAUGUGUGCUCAUUUACUUCUUGGACAAAGAGACGUGCCGUACUGACUACUGACCAGGCAUUGCGCUGGGCACAGUCAGAGGAACCUUCCAGCAAGCCUCUCACCUGCCUUCCUAAGGAGCAAGUGUGUUGUGAUGCUGAGUCCCCUCAGACUACAACCGCACAAGGACACAUUCAUCUACAUGUGAAAGAGCGUGAGCCCGAGAAGGAGGACCAACAUCUCCUAAAACGAGAAAUCACUCCCUGUCUUACCCAUAAGUGGCACCGUCUCACCUUACCCGGGAAGCCCUGUUUGACUCUUGGAAUGCUUACAGAUCUCCAUAUCCCUGAAAUCCUAUGA